UCUGCUUCUCGGCCUUUUGGCUAAGAUCAAGUGUAGUAUCUGUUCUCAGCAUUUUUUAAAUUCAGUUCUCUUGCCUCUGUUUGGCCUCUAAAAUUAUGUACUACACAGGGAUCGUUUUAGCCCCUUUUCUGUCUUAGACUCA
ensembl:snRNA U2 U2 spliceosomal RNA